rnacentral:rRNA from 1 species
GUGCCAGCAGCCGCGGUAAUACAGAGGGUGCGAGCGUUAAUCGGAUUUACUGGGCGUAAAGCGUGCGUAGGCGGCUUAUUAAGUCGGAUGUGAAAUCCCCGAGCUUAACUUGGGAAUUGCAUUCGAUACUGGUAAGCUAGAGUAUGGGAGAGGAUGGUAGAAUUCCAGGUGUAGCGGUGAAAUGCGUAGAGAUCUGGAGGAAUCCGAUGGCGAAGGGCAGCCAUCCGGGCCUAAUACUGACGCUGAGGUACGAAAGCAUGGGGAGCAAACAGGAUUAGAUACCCUGGUAGUCC